UCUUCGGAUCGUAAACUCCUGUCAUGGUGAACAAGGCCCACACAGUAACUGGGUGUUGGGAUUGAUAGUAGCCGAAGAGGAAGAGACGGCUAACUCUGUGCCAGCAGCCGCGGUAAUACAGAGGUCUCAAGCGUUGUUCGGAUUCAUUGGGCGUAAAGGGUGCGUAGGUGGACGAGGUAAGUCUGGUGUGAAAUCCCGGGGCUCAACCCCGGAACUGCACUGGAUACUGCCCUGCUGGAGUACUGGAGAGGAGAUUGGAAUUUACGGUGUAGCAGUGAAAUGCGUAGAUAUCGUAAGGAAGACCAGUGGCGAAGGCGAAUCUCUGGACAGUUACUGACACUGAGGCACGAAGGCCAGGGGAGCAAACGGGAUUAGAUACCCCGGUAGUCCUGGCAGUAAACGGUGCGCGUUUGGUGUGGGAGGAAUCGACCCCUUCCGUGCCGGAGCUAACGCGUUAAACGCGCCGCCUGGGGAGUACGGUCGCAAGAUUA
rnacentral:rRNA from 1 species